AUGUCUAGACUCAUUUGUUUCUAUUCAAUUUUCCAGCAACUGGGGUCCACACUUCCGUAUGCCACCACUUGGAUGAUUCUUCUGAUCGUUACCGCCGUGUUGGCGUCGUUGGCACCCGGUGUGGCUUUUAUGUUUGCGGUGUCGCAAUUUUCUUCUUCGUUGUCUUCAAAGCCUUGUCAAAAGCAUGAGUUUGUGAGGAUUCCGUUUGAUUCUCCGACGGAGAUGGUUUGCUUGCCGGAGCAUGCGGUGGUUAGCACCUCACAGUUUGAUUUCUUCUUGCCUAGUUUGUUUGCUGCUUUGGUUGUUUCUGCUUCAACUUUUCUGCUUCGUUCUGUGAUCUCUCCAUGA